rnacentral:rRNA from 1 species
GCAUAUCAAUAAGCGGAGGAAAAGAAACCAACAGGGAUUGCCUCAGUAACGGCGAGUGAAGCGGCAACAGCUCAAAUUUGAAAUCUGGCCCCAGGCCCGAGUUGUAAUUUGCAGAGGAUGCUUUUGGCGCGGUGCCUUCCAAGUUCCCUGGAACGGGACGCCACAGAGGGUGAGAGCCCCGUCAGGUCGUGCAACCAAGCCUUUGUAAAGCUCCUUCGACGAGUCGAGUAGUUUGGGAAUGCUGCUCUAAAUGGGAGGUAUAUGUCUUCUAAAGCUAAAUAUUGGCCAGAGACCGAUAGCGCACAAGUAGAGUGAUCGAAAGAUGAAAAGCACUUUGAAAAGAGAGUUAAACAGCACGUGAAAUUGUUGAAAGGGAAGCGUUCAUGACCAGACUUGGGCCCGGUUGAUCAUCCAGCGUUCUCGCUGGUGCACUCCUCCGGCCCAGGCCAGCAUCAGUUCGCUCCGGGGGACAAAGGUUCCGGGAACGUGGCUCCCUCGGGAGUGUUAUAGCCCGGUUCAAAUGCCCUGGGGUGGACUGAGGUCCGCGCAUUGCAAGGAUGCUGGCGUAAUGGUCAUCAACGACCCGUCUUGAAACACGGACCAAGGAGUCGUCUUCGUAUGCGAGUGUUUGGGUGUAAAACCCCGGCGCGUAAUGAAAGUGAACGCAGGUGAGAGCUUCGGCGCAUCAUCGACCGAUCCUGAUGUUCUCGGAUGGAUUUGAGUAAGAGCAUACGGGGCCGGACCCGAAAGAAGGUGAACUAUGCCUGUAUAGGGUGAAGCCAGAGGAAACUCUGGUGGAGGCUCGCAGCGGUUCUGACGUGCAAAUCGAUCGUCAAAUAUGGGCAUGGGGGGCGAAAGACUAAUCGAACCUUCUAGUAGCUGGUUUCCGCCGAAGU